rnacentral:sRNA from 1 species
AUUUUUAAAUAAAAACUGAAAAAGAAUUUGGGUAUUUGGUGUGCUGAAAAGUGAAAUUUUUGCCUAUUUAAAACUGACCCUAAUCUUGGACAUUAUUAAUAAAAGGCACAUAUUAAUAAAAGACACAUUGACCUAGAUUAUGUUUAACAAAACUUUAAGUUAUUUAAAUUAUGCUAACACAGCAUAUGUAGCACAUUUUACAAAUUCAUAGAUCUUUUAUUUUUCUAGUGUUAAACAAUUACUUCAAAUUGAUUUGUAUUGCUACAUAAGGCAAAAAACAAUUCCUGAACUUUGCAGAAUGGAAAAAUAUUUCAACUGCCACAUUUACUCUUUUAAAACUGAGAGCUUUAAAGCAGGAGCUCCCAAUCCCCAGUACCCAUCCCUGGCCUGUUAGAAACUGGACCACACAUCAGGAGGUGAGUGGCACGCAAGCCAGAGAAGCUUUAUCUGUAUUUACAGCUGCUCCCAGUGGCUUGUAUGGCCACCUGAGCUCCGCCUCCCAUCAGAUCAUUGGCAGCAUUAAAUUCUCAUAGGAGCAUGAACCCUAUUGUGAACUGUGCAAGCCAGGGAUCUAGGUUGUGCCUCCUUAUGAGAAUCUAAUGCCUGAAGAUCUGAAGUGAAGCUGAGGUGGUAAUGGGGAGUGGCUGCAGAAACAGAUUAACAUUAGCAGAGAGGCUUGACUGCACAGAGACUGUAAUCAAUCAGCUGCUUGCAGACUCAUAUCAAAACCCUCUCAGUGAGUGGCAAGUGACAAGCUGCAUCUAUCUAGUGGCAGGUUUUAAGUCAGAAUCUGACAUUUAUUUAAUCUGCAUGUGGCCUGCCCAUUACUUAUUUACCACUUCCAUCCAUGCCUCUUUCCUGCACUGUGCAUUUGUCUCAGUCACAGUUUUGGUAAGCCCACAAGCUAACCCUAGCCAAAAUGAGUAAAAAAGCAAACGUCCUUGGAGAGCUUCUUUGAAAAGUGGGAAAGACUCAAUGAUGAGAGAGCAGAAGACUCUAAUACUGCCAACAAAGAGAAAGUGGCAUUUAAAAGAAAAUAUCAAGAGUCCUACUUAAAUUGUAGGUUCAUUGCAGUAGGUGAUUCACAUUCUCCAAACCUGCUUUGUCUAAUAUGUGAUGACCAGCUAUCCAGAAAAGCCAUGAAACGUUUAAAAGUGCUUCACCACAUGGAGACCAAGCACCCUGCAUUAAAAGACAAGCCUUUGGAGUUUUUCAAAAGAAAAAAUAGUAAACGCAAAGAACAGAAGUAAUUAUUGAAGGCCACCACUUCCUCAAAUGUGUCUGCAGUGAGAGCAUCAUUCUUAGUGGCUAAUCACAUUACUAAAGCUAAGAAGGCCUUUACUACUGGUGAAGAGUUGAUCCUGCCUGCUGCUAAGGACUUAGGAGAGCCUGCAGUUCAAAAGGUGGCACAUGUUCCUCUUCUGGCUAGCACCAUAACUAAAUGAAUUAAUGAAAUAGAGGAUAUGAGGCAUAAUUGUUAGAAUUAAUGAGUCACUGUGGUACGCAAUCCAGGUUAAUGAGUCUACCAGUGUUGACAGCAAGGCAACAAUGCUUGUUUAUGUGUGAUACAUUUUUCAGGAGGAUGUGCAUGAGGAUAUGUUAUGUGCACUUUUGCUUUCAUCUAACACCACAGCUGCAGAACUAUUCAAGUCUUUAAAUACAUAUCAGGAAAAUUGAAUUGGUCAUUUUGUAUGGGUAUAUGCAGGGAUGGAGCAGCUGCCAUGACUGGACGGCUUUCUGGUUUCACUACUCAGGUCAAAGAGCUUGCUUCUGAAUGUGAGUCUGUGUACUGUGUCAUCUGUAGAGAUGCUGGCUAGUUGAAAAAUGCCACCUGAACUUACCAUUUUGUAGGAUGUGAUUAAAAUUUUCAACCACAUUAAAGUACAUGCCCUUAAUUCACAUCUGUUCAUGUAGCUCUGUGAGAAGAUGGACACAGAGCACACAUCUUCUCUUAUACACAGAAGAGAGAUGGCUUCCUAAAGGUAGAUCACUGGCCACAGUUUUUCAGUUACAAUAGCUGCUCCAGAGAUUUCAUUUUAGAAAAAGUCACCACUGGCAGCACAUUUUGUUGACACAGAAUUGGGUCACAAAACUUGCUUACUUGGCCAGGCAUGGUGGGUCACGCCUGUAAUUACAGCACUUUUGGGAGGCCAAGGCAGGCAGAUCAUUUAAGGCCAGGAGUUUGAGACCAGCCUGGCCAAAGGGGAGAAACCUCGUCUUUACUAAAAAAUACAAAAAUUAGCUAGGCGUGGUGGCACACGCCUAUAAUCCCGGCUACUCAGGAGGCUGAGGCAUGAGAAUCAUUUGAGCCUGGAAGGCAGAGGUUGCAAUGAGCCGAGAUCAUGCCACUGUACUCCAGCCUGGGCAAGAGAGCGAGACUCUCUCAAAAAAAAAAAAAAAAAAAAAAACUUGCUUGUGUGACAUAUUCAAUCUGUCACCUCAAGGGAGAACAAAACUGUGUUCAAGUUGGCAGAUAGAGUGGCUGCAUUCAAAGCCAAACUGGUAUUAUGGGGGCCACAAGUGAACAUUGGGAUUUUUUGACAUGUUUCAAACAUUAGCAGAGAUUUUAAAAGAGACUGAGCCAGGACCGUUUUUCUCCCAGCUGGCACAUGAUCACCUAUCUCAGCCUUCAAAGAGUUUGAGUAUUAUUUUCCAGCCACGAAAGAGCCCCGAACUGGGAAGGAAUGGAUUCACAACCCAUUUGUGAAUAAGCCAGGUGAAUCGACUUUGUUCAUGCUAGAAGAGGAUCAGCUGCUUAAGAUCACAAAUGACGUUGCCCUUAAAAGUAUGUUUGAGACAACUUCACAUCUCUAUACAUUCUGGAUUAAAGACAAAGUGGAAUAUCCUGAGAUUGCCACGAAAGCACUGGAAAGCCUGCUUCCAUUUCCAACCUCCUAUCUUUGUGAAACAGGGUUUUCUGUAGUGACAGCAGCCAAACAAGAUUACAGAGUAGACUGGACAUAAGCAACACACUUAGGGUGUCACUGUCUCCCAUCACCCCUAGAUGGGACCGUCUAGUGGCAGGGAAAACAAGCUCAGGGCUCCCACUGCUUCUACAUUAUGGUGAGUUGUACAAUUAUUUCAUUAUAUAUUACGAUGUGAUAAUAAUAAAGUACAUAAUAAAUGUAAUACACUUGAAUCAUCUCAAAACCACCACCACCCCCCUCCAUGGAAAAAUUGUUUUCCACAAAACCAGUCCCUGGUGCCAAAAAGGUUGGAAACUGCUGCUUUAAACUUUAAGUUGCUCUGAUAAACUUGAUAAGCAAAGAAAGGCAUAAAGAAGAGUCAGUACAUGACCAUUUUAUUUAGCCAUUUGCUGAACAGAAGUGCCUAGCUUUUUUCACUGUUUUUGUGCAAAGAUAGAUAAUUCUGUUUGUUAGAGAGUUUUUAUUAAGUGACUACAAAAAAAACUUUCAGGAUAACAUCUACUUAUUAAGUAAGCUAAAACAUUUAAUACCCAAAGUGCUUAGUAAUAAAUAUUUAUGCUAUCUCAACAUCAGGCAUUUUAUUUUCUAUCAGGUAACCACCUAUGGCAUAAAUUCUCAAAAUUCAUAGUAAAAUUAGUCACAAUUAGAUAAAUCAGCCCUGAGUAUAAUAGCGUCUGUAUUAUGGGUUUUUGUGUAAAUUAUUAAUUUGACUGAAACAUAACUAAAGUAUCCUGGACAUGCAGGGGAAGAAGACAAGAAAAUUAAUGAAGAACUGGAGUCUCAAUAUCAGCAAAGUAUGGACAGUAAAUUAUCAGGAAGAUAUCGGCGACAUUGUGGACUUGGCUUCAGUGAGGUAGAAGAUCAUGAUGGAGAAGGUGAUGUGGCUGGAGAUGAUGAUGAUGACGAUGAUGAUUCACCUGAUCCUGAAAGUCCAGAUGAUUCUGAAAGCGAUUCAGAGUCAGAGAAAGAAGAAUCUGCUGAAGAACUCCAAGCUGCUGAGCACCCUGAUGAAGUGGAGGAUCCCAAAAACAAAAAAGAUGCAAAAAGCAAUUAUAAAAUGAUGUUUGUUAAAUCCAGUGGUUCAUAACUCCCAAACGCUUAGUCUUUGUAUUAAAAGUAAGCCUUAUUGUUAUAAUGCACAGUGGAGGACUGCUUUUAGAGCACAGACCUUUGUAUUAUAAUUUUUAAAAAGGCCCUUUUAAAUAAUUACAAAGAGUGUUUGCUUUCAAAUGCCAUGGGUUACACUUUUAUGGGCAUGACUAUAACCAUUUUUGUAAAGAGUAAGAGUUGUAUAAAAUAAGAAAUAAAUACAGUACUCAACUUCCUUUCA